UGUGUAUGUAUGUAUGUGUGUGUGUGUGUGUUCGCGCGCGUGUAUGUGUGUGUAUGUAUAUGUGUGUCUGUGUCUGUGUAAGAAGGAAAAUCACAGAAAAAUAGAUUUUUGGAAAGUUACAAGUUUUGAAAAAUUAGAACAGAGUGUAUUGACUCCAAAUGAGUGGGAGUCGACCCAUAGAAGUUUAUCAACCUUUAUGAGUUGAUACAAAAUUCCUAGGAGUUGACCCAAUCAAGGAAGAGCCAUUUGGCUUGCCAAAGCUUCAGCUGGAGUUGACCACAACCCUAUAUGAGUCGACUCACCCUUGCAUUGUGUUGACCUAAGACUCUAAUGUGUCGACACAUACAAGGCAACAACUUUUCUUUUAAAAAUGUCUUCAAUAUGUGUCGACCCAUAACACGUAUGUGUCGACCCAUAACUCUGUUUUCACACAAAACUCAAUAGUUAACAUGUAAAGAUGUUUCUAACCUAUUUUUAAAUGUCCUAAGAUGAAAAUGCACAUCUAUACAUAGAGAGAAAGGUCCAAUGUACACAAAUACUAAGUGUCCUAGUUUUGACAUCAUUCAAAAUAUUUCUAAGAGAAUAGUGCACUCACAUAAAAUUCUUCCAAUUGUCCAUGUAAACACCAAACAUCUUGGAUGCUUGAAAAAAUGAAAGCAUCUCAUUCCCAUGUUAGGGAUCCUUGGAGGUGUGUGACAUAAAAACUAAAUUAAAAAAGAGAUCUAGGGACGAUUCUAUAUUCCGGUGCUCACACCAAUAUCGGUAGACUUUAACAAACAACAGGCUGCUGAGUUUAACUAGGAAUGGGAAAUAUUCAUAUGCCUCAACAUCCCCUCCUCAAACCCGUUGAAGGGAAACUUAAGUCUCAACAGAGUAAAAAUACAUUUGUAGAAGAGGACAGAGUAUAUGAUACUCCAUUAUUUGUGAUAUAUUUAAGCCUCUAAUACUUGAUUUAAAUGGCAAAGUUAUGCCUACUUAGAGUUAUUUAUUUAUGUUUUUACGCUUUAUGCUUAAAUAUUAUUUAGCACACUAGGUACUCUCUUCAUAGUUUUUAAGUGUUUUUGUAUGUUUGUGUGUGUGUGUGUGUGUGUGUGUGUGUGCGCGCGCGUGUGUGUGUGUGUGUGUGUGCGUGUGUGUGUGUGUUAUUAGUCAUAGAUUUUACGAGAAAACUCUUAUGCUUUUAAAAUGUAUAUUCACUCAGACGUAUCGAGAUAGACUUUCAUAUAUUUCAAGACUUGUCAGAUUCUCAAUUCUUAUAGACACUUGCUUGAGUUCACUUUGAGAUCAGGCUUGAGUUAUAUUCCAUUUAGUUGCCAUCAUCAUAGAGCGAAGUGUAUCAAACCAUAAUAUUCUUCUUGCAUCUUUAACUCCUGUAUGCAGGACUUUAGUUGUUGUCGUCAAAGACUAGUUGACAUCGUCAAAAACUUGUUUGUCUUGAGAGGACUUUAUUGACCAAUAACAUGCAUCCCAUGCCUGACUGGCGUCAACCCUUCCCCAAAAGCAAAUCGUCAGCAAAAAGUUAACAAACGAAGAAAAUGAGUUAAGGUACUAUCACAGGCGGAUUGUCAGCCCAACUGACGCCCGUCAUGGCCCAUGUUCAUGCAGCCCCAUCAGGAGAGUCAUGACGGGUGGGCCAUUAGUCCUACUGACGCCCGCCAAUGAAGGAAAAUUGUGAUCCAAAAUGCAGCGAAAUUAAACUUUUUCCUUUAGUGAUCCUUACGGAUGAGCAUGAUCGGUGAUAGAAACUGUUACCUCUUGUGGCGAUUGAAACCUUUGAUGCAGAUCUAAGGAGUGAUCACGAGCGUUGAAUGGUGACAACGCCUCUACUCAAUCCACACGAACGGAUUCCUUCAGUCUCAAUGUUAGUUGCUAUGAAUGAAGGCUUUGAUAGAUAGAUAGAUAGAUAGAUAGAUAGAUAGAUAGAUAGAUAGAUAGAUAGAUAGAUAGAUAGAUAGAUAGAUAGAUAGAUAGAUAGAUAGAUAGAUAGA
rnacentral:lncRNA from 1 species